GGGGUCAAGCGGCGGACGGGUGAGUAACGCGUGGGAACCGUGCCUUCUGGUUCGGAAUAACCCUGGGAAACUAGGGCUAAUACCGGAUACGCCCUUUUGGGGAAAGGUUUACUGCCGGAAGAUCGGCCCGCGUCUGAUUAGCUAGUUGGUGGGGUAACGGCCUACCAAGGCGACGAUCAGUAGCUGGUCUGAGAGGAUGAUCAGCCACACUGGGACUGAGACACGGCCCAGACUCUACGGGAGGCAGCAGUGGGGAAUAUUGGACAAUGGGCGCAAGCCUGAUCCAGCCAUGCCGCGUGAGUGAUGAAGGCCUUAGGGUUGUAAAGCUCUUUUAUCCGGGACGAUAAUGACGGUACCGGAGGAAUAAGCCCCGGCUAACUUCGUGCCAGCAGCCGCGGUAAUACGAAGGGGGCUAGCGUUGCUCGGAAUCACUGGGCGUAAAGGGCGCGUAGGCGGCGUUUUAAGUCGGGGGUGAAAGCCUGUGGCUCAACCACAGAAUGGCCUUCGAUACUGGGACGCUUGAGUAUGGUAGAGGUUGGUGGAACUGCGAGUGUAGAGGUGAAAUUCGUAGAUAUUCGCAAGAACACCGGUGGCGAAGGCGGCCAACUGGACCAUUACUGACGCUGAGGCGCGAAAGCGUGGGGAGCAAACAGGAUUAGAUACCCUGGUAGUCCACGCCGUAAA
rnacentral:rRNA from 1 species